CCUACGGGGGUCAGCAGUGGGGGAUAUUGCACAAUGGGGGAAACCCUGAUGCAGCGACGCCGCGUGUGGGAAGACGGUCCUCUGGAUUGUAAACCACUGUCCCCAGGGACGAAGAUGACGGUACCUGGGGAGGAAGCUCCGGCGAACUACGUGCCAGCAGCCGCGGUAAUACGUAGGGAGCGAGCGUUGUCCGGAAUUACUGGGGGUAAGGGGAGCGUAGGCGGGACUGCAAGUUGGGUGUCAAAUCUACGGGCUCAACCGGUAGCCGCACUCAAAACUGCAGUUCUUGAGUGAAGUAGAGGCAGGCGGAAUGCCUGGUGUAGCGGUGAAAUGCGUAGAUAUUAGGAGGAACACCAGUGGCGAAGGCGGCCUGCUGGGCUUUUACUGACGCUGAGGCUCGAAAGUGUGGGGAGCAAACAGGAUUAGAUACCCGAGUAGUC
rnacentral:rRNA from 1 species